GCCCUUUGUGGAAUGGAUUGGGGAGUUUAGGCUUAAAUGAAGGGGGGAGGGUAGAUAACUAGGAUGGGCUAAAUUGGACGAACGAUUCGAAAAGGCGAUGUCAAAGGGGCUUGAGAGCCGCAUUUCCACACGGAGACGUAAUGAAGAAAACUGGAAAAGGAAACAUUUUAGUACCAGAGUGGCACAGAGAAAUCAAAACGAGAUUCUGCAAGUAGCGGUGAGCGAAAGUGGAAUAGUUCAAUGGUCUGUUGGGGGCGAGUAAAUAGUGGAAGAGAGGUGCUCACAUAUCUAAGACUAAAUGUUAGUUCCAUACCGAAAGAGAGAGUACUGUAAAGGAAAGUUUAAAGAGAAUUGAAAAAAUCUUGAAAUCAGUCCUUUAGAGCAGCUGUAAUACAGCGUACCUUUCGUAUAAUGGGUUUAUAAGAUAUAGUUUGGCAAAUUUAAGUUAGGACCUAAAAAUGUAUUGGGAGAAGAGAAUGGAGGUAAAGAGAAAUCGAGAGUGCUCUCUUUAGUCAAAUUGCCCGAAACCAAGUGAUCUAACCAUGGGCAGUUUUAAGGAACGAACUGGUGGUUGUGGCAAAAACCUCGGAUGACCUAUGGUUGGGGGGGAAAGACUAAUCGAACUUGGAGAUAGCUGGUUUUCUGCGAAAACUAUUGAAGUAGUGCGUUCACAAUUCCGGGGGGGUUUGAGUUAAAAGAGUUUUUAUGGUAAAGUAUGAUCGCUCGAAAGGGGGGGAAAGACCAUGAAUGUAAAAAUCGAAGUGGACAGGCAGACAGUGGGCGAGAAAGUGCAUUGUCAAAAGGGGGAGCCCUAAUCAGAAGUUAAAGUCAUAGAUCGAUUGGGGCUGUCUCUAAAUAGUUAAGUGUAAAAGGAGUCUGGGAUUUAAACAAUGAGGAGGUAGGCUUGGGGCCAGCCAUCUUUGAAAGAGGACGUAGUAGUCCACUUGAGAAUUUUUUUUUUCCUUAAAAUUAUGGUGGCUAAAAUAGAACUGAAAUUCUGAGGGCGAAGUUUGCUUGGUAGUAGAACGGGCUGUUGGGUGGUUUAGUGAGAGCCCAAGCAUCAGAAGAGAUAAUGUGAACAUGAGUAAAUAAUUGUUGAACUACUUCUCCAGGUUUCCAAGUUUCAACCCUGGGGCUUGGGUAAUACAGCCCCUAAGGUGGCGGCCGAGGGUCGCUUCGAUGGGAGAUAAUAAUAAACGCACAGAGUGCCAGGAAAGAAUUAUUAAAAGUUGGUACUGUCGUAAACUAACAUAAGUGGGAGAUAGUGGAGGGGAAAGUUUUUUUAAGGAACUCGGCAAAUUUUUUGGCUUCCAUUAGGGAGUUUUUAUAACACAAGGCCUCGGCUGUUUACCAAAAACACAGCUCUUUGCUAAUAUGAAAGUAGAAGUAUGAAGGGUGAGACCUGCCCCAUGGUUGUAUCUAAAGGGGUCGGUAGGGCCGAUAUUAUAAAGACAAUUGAAUGGCUGCGGUAACUGUGACCGUGAAAAUGUAGCGUAAUCAAUAGUCAAUUAAUUGUUGGCCGGUAUGAAUGGUGUCACGAAGGCCUCACUGUCUUAAGAAAAUCCCCUGUGAAAUUGAAUUUGUAGUGAAGAUGCUACAUUCAAAUUGUUAGACGAAAAGUCCCCAUGGAACUUUACUGGAGACUUAUGUGGUCUAUCUGACGAAUAGAUAGUUUAGAUUAGGUGGUGUUAACUGUUGUUAGUAAAAUUCACUCUUUUAUUUUAAGAGGGCUAACUCUUCUUUUGAAUAAAGUUAGAGAAAUGAGGUAAGUUAGACAGUUUGGUUGGGGCGAUCGCCUUUUAAAAAGUAACGAAGGUGGGCUUAAGAUACAUAUUUAAUAGUUGUCGUCUGACUGUGAAGGGGGAGCCCUGAGCAGACACUAAAAAGAGCCUUGUGCGGGUAAUGGUGGGUUGCAGUGACCCGUUAAUUUAAGGUGAAAGAGUUAACGAUAAACAAAUAAAAGUUACCCUGGGGAUAACAGCGCAAUAACGUUUGAGGGGUUUUCUUGAUGACGAUGUUUGCGACCUCGAUGUUGAGUUGCGGCAUCCUGGGGUGCAGUCGCUCCCAAGGGUGGGUCUGUUCGUCCAUUAAAGCCGUACAUGAUUUGAGUUAAAAGCGUGGUAACACAGCUUGGUUUCUAUCUACAAUUUGAAGAAACACUGAUAUAACUGUUUUCUAGUACGAAAGGAUCGAAAAAUUAGUGGUUUUCUUAUUUUUAUAAGUUACGAUCAAUCUAUUGGCUUCGAUAAUUUUUGAAGGUGCCUUUUUGUUAAUCGCUGAUCGCCUCUAAAGUGGGAACAUUUUAUUUAGUUGUUUGAAGUUCUGUAGAGGAGUAGGUUCCUGUCUAAUAUGGGC
rnacentral:rRNA from 1 species